rnacentral:lncRNA from 1 species
UUUUUUCUUUAGGGCCACACUCAUGGUGUAUGGAAGUUUCUAGGCUAGGUAUCAGAUCACAGCUGCAGCUGCAGGCUGCACCACAACCACAGCAACCCAGGAUCCGAGCCGUGUCUGCAACCUACAGUGCAGCUCACAACAACGCCAGAUCCUUAACCCACUAAGCAAGGCCAGGGAUCGAAUCUGCAUCCUCAUGGAUACUAGUCAGGUUCGUUACCACUGAGCCACGAUACUAACUCCCCCUUGGAGUUUUUCAAUGUGGGAGGCACAAUCUCUCCCAUACCAUUUGACUCCUACUGAUUAUCACUAUGGGGAAAAUGAGGAAACAGAAAAUAAAUAUGGGGACAUUAUACAAGCUUAAAAAUUCCAGCCAUGUUGGCAGUUCCAUUCUUUGCCUUUUUAAGAUGGGUACUGGCUGGCUGAGGGAGGGAGCAAAGCUCAAUGGUUGCUUUGAAUCCCAGUUCAGCCCACUGCUAACUGAGGAGGAACUGGGUAGCCUGUGUGACUUUUGUACACCUCAGUUUUGCCAUCUGCAGACAAGGGCCACUGAAUCUGCAUUCCAUUGGAUGACUGAUACACAUAUGCUCUCAGCCCAGAGCCUGUGCAUCAUUACAGCUCAGAUCUUUAUAACUGAUAUCACUGAUGCUGCUCUUGCUGGAGUUAAUGGCUGCUGUAGUAGGUACUGGAUGCUGAUGUAACUUUUUGUAACUUUUUGUUCCCAGGGGUGGCACUCCCUGAAAUUCUGCUCCUUUUUCCACCCACGUUUUUAAAGGGCAAGAGCAAUCUGCUUGGAGCUUUAAUUGCAUUCUCUAUAAGACUUAAUGAGCCAAGUCCAGAAAGCCCAAGCCAAGGAGAGGUGAGGCAAAGGGAAAAACCAGACAAAUGCAAGGACAAGUAGAAAUUGGCUUUCUUAAGAAGGCCUCUAGAAGGAUCUCAGAUACUCAUAGUUGCAGUCAAAUGAACCAUAGGCAGACAGCAAAUACAGUUCUUUAUUUGACCAAGAAUUCUUUGAACAGGGUAGAAACUGCUAAAGAUGAAUGUUCUUGUCAACUUGGGUAUUUGGGUUCCCUACUCUAGGCACCCAGCUCCUGACUCCUGUCGCCCUCCUUAAUGGCAGUACAAGAGCUCAGACCUCCUCAGAUGUCAAAGAUAAUGUGAUCAACUCUUUGUGAACUAAUAAAUGAGUAAGUGAAUGAACGAACAAAUGCAUACAUGAAUAUGAGACAAGGCCCUAUAGAAGCCAAAGCUGUCUCUGUACUGUAAUCCCACAUCCAGACCUACAGUGUUUCCCAGGAAGGACAAUAUAUAUGUAAAUAGAGUCAUCACAUUGAGAAUGUCAGGCCUCAGAGGGUUCAUCUGGCACUUACAAAGGCCACUUCACAUUUCUCCAUGAAAUUCCAAAACUUGACAGCUUUCUUAACACAGGGAUGGUGAGGAAUGAAAACUUCAAAAAUUAUGCCAUUUGAAAAGUAAACUGUUUAUUGUUCAGAGGAAAAAUUCUGCGUUGAACCAUUUGGCAGCUCUCAAAAUGUAAUCGGAUGACACACCAGUGAUUUAAAAUGUAAAUAAAUCUUUGGGUAUGCAAAUAAGGGACCUUGCAGAACCCAAGUCAAGUUCUGUAGAAGAUUAGCCCUUGCAGGAACCAGAAUGGGACCCAUGAAUUCACCUGGUUACUGCCUGGACUGGAUCUUAAAAUACCCAAGUUUGCAGGUCUGAGUCUACCUCUGCCCCUCACUCCAAGAAUAGAGGGAAGCACUAAGCAGGAAUACCCUAAGAUACAUUUUCAUGAGGAAGGGUGUGAGCACCUGCUGCCCCAGGGCCUGGCAGUGUGAACUGGGGUUGGCGCCAGUGCCUGUGGAGCCAGUGCUGUUCACAGUUUCCCUGAUGUGAGCUGGCAGUCAUUGCCUGGGGUGGGGUAGGACUAGAUGACCUCUAAUUUCCCUUCUAAUCUUAAGACCCUGCCAUCAACUGGGAAGCCAUGGCAUGAAUAUUUUCCAAUAUUAAACUCGCAUCCCUAGCUAUAAUUCUAAAGCCUCUUUGUGGGUCUCUUCCACUUUUUUUAGGAGAUCAGCCAAAGUGUGUACUGGACAGAUAGAAAUGUGAUCUAUCCGUUGUGUCUUGUUUCUUUUUAAUUGUGCUACGGUAUUAAUAUACUUAUGUGAAAGCACAUGAUCAGCUAUAAAAUUCUUCAUACACAAAAAGUCAUAAACAUUUCAUAAAUUCAGCCAAAACACUCAGAAGCUCUAGGCAGGAGUAAGCCAAGCUUAAUUUUUUGAGGGAUAUCGAAGCCAAUAAAGCAAACCAAGGAAGCUGCCUAGGAUAUAAAAUUUUGGGUACAAUUCAGUUCAAUCCAAUUCAAUUCAAGAAAUGUAUAUUGAGUAUGUACUACGUGAUGGGCACUCUGCCAGGUUUCUAUUCUCUAUGAAAGGGGCUUGUUUGUUUUUAGGGGUUGAUGCUACACAGAUGGUUUUCAUAGAGAUGGUAAGAGGUAGAUCAGAGCAAGAGUACAAAUAAGCAGUUUUUCAUUUAAUAAUCAUAAUUAUAAAAACAACUGAAAAGCUACCAUUUACUGACAGCUGACAACAUGCCAGGGCUUAUGCCACACCAAGCAUUAUAUAUUUUAUAUAUAAGAUGAAUGUAUAUAAGUGAAUAUUUGUAUAUAUCCCAAUCAUUACAACAAUUCAACAAAGGUAGAUAUUCUUAGUUCUUAUUUUACCUAUGAGAAUACCAAGUCAUAGAGAGGUUAAAUUACUUGACCAAGGUCACCCAGCUAUUAAGUGGUGAUCCAGAUUUUGAAAACAUAAUGAUCUGACUUCCAUGACAACAGGCUUUACAUUAUACCUACAUCAGUUUACAUUGUACCACUUUCCAUGAUAGCCAUUAGUGCUUGACAGAAGGGAUGAGGGAAGGGCUCAACCUGGCCAGUGGCUCUUGAUAUGAGUGGCUCAACCUGGGCCUGGCCCCUCCUCCCAGGCCUCCCUGCACCUCCUAAGUUAAGGGUCUCCUCUUCUGGUGUCUUGAAACAGGCCAGAUGGUGAUCCAGACAGGAAAUGCAGAGAUAGCUUUUGAACCUGGCUUUGAGCUAUGUUUAAUAUUCCAAGUAGCCAAUUUAGGUUAAGUAUUUUCCAGCCACCUUCAUAUAGUCUUUCUUUCUUCUGUGUAAGUCAGUUUGACUACAGAUGAAACCUCCCAGACCUUGAGUCCAUCAUCAGCUCUGAAUGUGGCCCAUGUACCCUGCAGCCUGGUUCCUGGUCAGAGGGCAAAGCUUGCCUGCAAGUAAGACUUUGAAAUGGCACUUAGCUUGGUUCCCUGAAGUAAGUCACAUGCUCUCAACCCUCUAGUCCUUCUACUGUUGGAGCCACCCAAAGGGAAGCUCAUAUGAAAACAGCAGGUUACUCCCCAUCAGCAAAGAACAUCUUCUCCCCCUGUGAUGGGCUCGGCUGGUCUGGCAGCCACAGGCAAGCUGUGUUUUAUUCGUGAACAUCCUUCUUGUUUCAGCAGAUAAUGGACUCCAGUUAGGAGACAACACAGUAAACACAGCAUAAACAUUGGAAUGUGCAGCUGGAAUGAGUCUGCAUAUAAAUAAGUGUGCUGGGAGCCAGGGAGGUAAUAAGUCAGGAAUGCAAUGGAGAAGGUUAUUAAAAGAGGAGCUUGUAAAAAUCUGCAACAAGGCUGAAAGCUUGGAGCAUUUCUUGAUUACAGAAGGACCAAAGGCAGCAGCCUAUCUCAUCUGUGCUCUGACUAGCUGAGUUACUGGACAUCUCACUUAAAAUCCUGCUGUUACUCACUUUGUUCAAUCAUAAAGAUGAGAUUUUAUAUACUUUUAUAAAAAGUUCUGGGGCUGUUAUGAAGAUGUGUGCAUGAAAGCAUUAUGAAAAAAGCUGAUAUUUCUGUACAAAUGGAAGGUUAUAUGAGUCUUAAUUUUGGAAAGUAGCUGAAAUUACUCUUUUAUGCAUCUAAGCCCUCUUGUUGGUUGAAUAUCAAGCAAAGUUAUCUUUUGUAAUAGAAAUCUCUCAGGGACAUAUCAGGCAUAAAAGGAAUCAAAAGUAUUUUCUACUGUUUUAUAGUCAAAACAGAAAGAUCCUUUUAUUAGCUUUAUAUUAGUCAGCAUAUGGUAAGUUAUGCUGCAAUGACAAAUAAAUCCUACAGUCCCAUUGGCUUAACAAUAACAGAAAGAGCAUGUUCAUAUCUUUCUGAAGCAACACUCAGUGUGUCUUGGGUAUUUCUCCUGCAUCUCUCUUCUACACAUUGAGAGAAUGCUGCUUCCGUGACUUGUUAUAUUGCCACCAAAUGGGGAAGAAAGGCUGGAUCCCAUGAUGAAUGUUUUUAAUAGGCCACAAAAUGGUUUAUAACUUCCACUCUUUUUUUUUUUUCUUUUUUGUAUUUUCAGGGCUGCACCCAUGGCAUAUGGAGGUUCCCAGGCUAGGGGUCUAGUCAGAGCUGUAGCUGCUG